rnacentral:rRNA from 1 species
AGCUACUGCCAUCAGAGUUCGAUUAAGCCAUGUUAGUUGAGGGUGCUUCCCCUCGGAGGAAGAGGUAACCCGGCGGACGGCUCAGUAACACGUGGACAACUUACCCUUGGGACGGGGAUAACCCCUGGGAAACCGGGGCUAAUACCGGAUAGGGCAUCGGUUGCUGGAAUGCACGAUGUUCGAAAGCUGAGGCGCCCAAGGAUAGGUCUGCGGCCGAUUAGGUUGUUGUUGAUGUAACGGAUCAACAAGCCUACGAUCGGUACGGGUUGUGAGAGCAAUAGCCCGGAGAUGGGUUCUGAGAGAAGAACCCAGGUCCUACGGGACGCAUCAGGCGCGAAAACUUUACAAUGUGCGAAAGCACGAUAAGGGAACUCUGAGUGCCUCCUAAGGAGGCUGUUCAAGUGUCUAAAAAGCACCUGAAGGAAGGGCUGGGUAAGACCGGUGCCAGCCGCCGCGGUAACACCGGCAGCCCAAGUGGUAGCCAUGCUAUUGGGUCUAAAGCGUCCGUAGCCGGCCGGGUAAGUUCCUUGGGAAAUUUGACCGCUUAACGGUCAAGCUUUCAGGGAAUACUGCUUGGCUUGGGACCGGGAGAGGUCAGAGGUACUCCAAGGGUAGGGGUGAAAUCCAUUAAUCCUUGGGGGACCACCGGUAGCGAAGGCGUCUGACCAGACCGGGUCCGACGGUGAGGGACGAAGGCUAGGGUCGCGAACCGGAUUAGAUACCCGGGUAGUCCUAGCUGUAAACGAUGCGGGCCAGGUGUUGGCAUUACUGCGAGUGAUGCCAGUGCCGAAGGGAAGCCGUUAAGCCCGCCAUCUGGGAGUACGGUCGCAAGGCUGAAACUUAAAGGAAUUGGCGGGGGAGCACCACAACGGGUGGAGCUUGCGGUUCA